UUUUCUAACCAAUUUCGAGUGCAAGUGCACAGUGUCAGCUAAAGAAACACAACUGCGGGUUUUCUGCAGAGCAAAAUGGUUCUGAAAUGUCACUGAAUAGCUCACAAAGGACGCCAAUCUACGACAACAGAGACAUAAGCAUAUAGGAGAAAGGGUCCACACAUCCUCCUUUCAAAGUGUGGAGAAAAGAGAGAGAAAGGGAGAGAAGAGUCAUGGACCCUACUUUAUGGUUGCCAUGGAUGCAAGGUCAGCCUUCCACACUUGGAUCUACCAGCAGAGUUCAGACAGGUCAACGUGUGACCGGCUCAGGCCCUGGGGUUAAAAGUUCAAGCAGCUAUGGAAAAACCAAUAUGUCCACGCAGAGUAUGCUGUACAAUUUAUUUCAAUUUACAUCAAGCCAUGCAUAUAAAAUUUAGAUAAAUUCCAUUCAGAUCUGAUGUUGCCUGACACACAAUGUAUGCAAACAGAUGUCUGUGGGGCUUUUUCUGUGCUUUAGAAAACAACAUUAAAUUU
rnacentral:lncRNA from 1 species